AUGAACGCUAGCUACAGGCUUAACACAUGCAAGUCGAGGGGCAGCAUUUUAGUUUGCUUGCAAACUGAAGAUGGCGACCGGCGCACGGGUGAGUAACACGUAUCCAACCUGCCGAUAACUCCGGGAUAGCCUUUCGAAAGAAAGAUUAAUACCGGAUAGUAUACGAAUAUCGCAUGAUAUUUUUAUUAAAGAAUUUCGGUUAUCGAUGGGGAUGCGUUCCAUUAGUUUGUUGGCGGGGUAACGGCCCACCAAGACUACGAUGGAUAGGGGUUCUGAGAGGAAGGUCCCCCACAUUGGAACUGAGACACGGUCCAAACUCCUACGGGAGGCAGCAGUGAGGAAUAUUGGUCAAUGGGCGCGAGCCUGAACCAGCCAAGUAGCGUGAAGGAUGAAGGCUCUAUGGGUCGUAAACUUCUUUUAUAUGGGAAUAAAGUUUUCCACGUGUGGAAUUUUGUAUGUACCAUAUGAAUAAGGAUCGGCUAACUCCGUGCCAGCAGCCGCGGUAAUACGGAGGAUCCGAGCGUUAUCCGGAUUUAUUGGGUUUAAAGGGAGCGUAGGUGGAUUGUUAAGUCAGUUGUGAAAGUUUGCGGCUCAACCGUAAAAUUGCAGUUGAAACUGGCAGUCUUGAGUACAGUAGAGGUGGGCGGAAUUCGUGGUGUAGCGGUGAAAUGCUUAGAUAUCACGAAGAACUCCGAUUGCGAAGGCAGCUCACUAGACUGUCACUGACACUGAUGCUCGAAAGUGUGGGUAUCAAACAGGAUUAGAUACCCUGGUAGUCCACACAGUAAACGAUGAAUACUCGCUGUUUGCGAUAUACAGUAAGCGGCCAAGCGAAAGCAUUAAGUAUUCCACCUGGGGAGUACGCCGGCAACGGUGAAACUCAAAGGAAUUGACGGGGGCCCGCACAAGCGGAGGAACAUGUGGUUUAAUUCGAUGAUACGCGAGGAACCUUACCCGGGCUUAAAUUGCAACAGAAUAUAUUGGAAACAGUAUAGCCGUAAGGCUGUUGUGAAGGUGCUGCAUGGUUGUCGUCAGCUCGUGCCGUGAGGUGUCGGCUUAAGUGCCAUAACGAGCGCAACCCUUAUCUUUAGUUACUAACAGGUCAUGCUGAGGACUCUAGAGAGACUGCCGUCGUAAGAUGUGAGGAAGGUGGGGAUGACGUCAAAUCAGCACGGCCCUUACGUCCGGGGCUACACACGUGUUACAAUGGGGGGUACAGAAGGCGGCUACCUGGUGACAGGAUGCUAAUCCCAAAAACCUCUCUCAGUUCGGAUCGAAGUCUGCAACCCGACUUCGUGAAGCUGGAUUCGCUAGUAAUCGCGCAUCAGCCAUGGCGCGGUGAAUACGUUCCCGGGCCUUGUACACACCGCCCGUCACACCAUGAGAGUUGGAAAUACCCGAAGCCUGUGAGCUAACCUAUGAGGCAGCAGUCGAAGGUAGAGCCAAUGAUUGGGGUG
rnacentral:rRNA from 1 species